rnacentral:rRNA from 1 species
AGUGAACGCUGGCGGUAGGCCUAACACAUGCAAGUCGAACGGCAGCACAGUAAGAGCUUGCUCUUACGGGUGGCGAGUGGCGGACGGGUGAGGAAUACAUCGGAAUCUGCUUUUUCGUGGGGGAUAACGUAGGGAAACUUACGCUAAUACCGCAUACGACCUACGGGUGAAAGCAGGGGAUCUUCGGACCUUGCGCGAUUGAAUGAGCCGAUGUCGGAUUAGCUAGUUGGCGGGGUAAAGGCCCACCAAGGCGACGAUCCGUAGCUGGUCUGAGAGGAUGAUCAGCCACACUGGAACUGAGACACGGUCCAGACUCCUACGGGAGGCAGCAGUGGGGAAUAUUGGACAAUGGGUGCAAGCCUGAUCCAGCCAUACCGCGUGGGUGAAGAAGGCCUUCGGGUUGUAAAGCCCUUUUGUUGGGAAAGAAAAGCAGCAGGUUAAUACCCCGCUGUUCUGACGGUACCCAAAGAAUAAGCACCGGCUAACUUCGUG